ensembl:lncRNA
CUUUGACAGAAAUGGUCCCAUUAAUCCAGCAGAUUACCUAGGCCUGAGUCAGGUUAGGUUUCUCAUCAGUAAUUCAGACGAACGAGAUUCUAAUUUAUGAUCAUCAUUUCAAGCCGACCGAUAUACUUUUUUAUUUAUUUUUUUACAAAUACGAAUCCUCACCUUUAAUUAUGGGCGGUUUUGAAUGACAAUCUCACCACCCCAUCAACUCCCAUGUCCUCCAUCAACUCCCAUGUCCUCCAUCAACUCCCAUGUCUGUUGGCAGAAAUAGACAUUAGCAACUUUCCAAUAUAGUCCCAUUCAUAUGGAAUCUGAAGUUUCUCAGUAAAUUUGUAUAGUUUCACAUCGGUUCAAAGUGAGCUAGGUUUAUCGUCAUUGAAACACGGUAAAGUUGACUAGCAUUAAGAUCUUGUGGGACUCACCUCAACAAUGUCCUCCAUUGGACAAACUGGCCGAAGUCCAGGUUUGUGAAGCUAUUUCACAUUCCCACCUGCAGAGAGAACUUGUUAGCCACACUUCUAGAAACUGUAGUUUAAGAUGAAACAGUCUCUUGAGGUUAAUCAGAUUAAAAUUGGCAUCACUAAAAAUCAGCCAUAUGCUUGUCUAUUGGAUAAUCAUCACUACACCCCGUCAUUUUAUUCAGUUAUUAAAAAACGGAACACUCACCAUUCUAGGCAGCCAUCAUCCUUGUUCUGUCCAUACAGUCUGUGAGAAAAAGGGGAUUUUAAAUCUCGUCAAGUCUUAUUGAACUGAGGUGGGCUCCGUUGGGUUACUCAGAAUCUGGUAAAGAAGUUUCUUCAAAGUUGGAUUCGGCAAGAGAGAGUUCAAAGAUCAUCAUUGUAGCGUGGACAUGGGUAAAUACCAUCAAACUCCAAUGGCUCCAAUACCUUCGAAUAGGUCUGCAUUGUCCAACCUAUGUAGAGAAAUCAACAGUAUUCAACAUUAUAUUCUCAAAGCCCAUUUAGACCUCAAGCACAUACUUCGCUACUCAGAAUAUUUUACGUUUUCCACAAAAUAUUCAGUGAGAGAGUUCAAUAACAUCACGGUAGCAGUCAACCCAGGUUGCAUGGACGUCUACUUCCAAGCCCACUUAACAAGUUCCAUUUACCUUUGGCGUUUGCCGUAAGGUAGUGUUCGGCUUCCAUCUGAGAAGAAAAAAGUAACUCAUUAACUGCAGUCUACAGAGCACAACACGUGCUAGUCGUUUUGGACAGGUUUAUGUUAAGAACUGAGCGGCCAGGGUCUCCAUUCAGGAUAAAAAUGGUGCAUUCACAGUCAUUCAGAACAGGUCUGUGUAGUUAUCAUCAUUAUAAGAGACACCGAAAAUGGCCGCAGCAGUGACACCCAAGCUCGGGUUAAAAGGUGCCGAUCCUCCCAUUAAAAAUAUCACGCGUUAAAUGUAGGACACUGGUUACAAAACGCAUAAAAUUAAUGUUCUUUGGAAAACGACCACAUAUAGCCCGUCGAUGGCCAUGGAUGGUUACGUGUUGUGUGAAACAUCCACCACUGGUAGUGCUUAUUGGACAACCGCCAAGUACGCUUUAACUGAAGAAAGCCGCACUACAGUGCAAGUACUAUUGACUUCAAAUGUACAACAAAGACUAAACCAAAGAUAACUUGAAUAUCUAAUCCUACUAAAAAAUAAAUGGUCUUCGC